rnacentral:rRNA from 1 species
GAUGAACGCUGGCGGCGUGCCUAAUACAUGCAAGUCGAGCGGCAGCAUAGUCUUCGGACUGAUGGCGAGCGGCGGACGGCAGAGUAACGCGUAGGAACAUACCCCAAACUGAGGGAUAACUGCUCGAAAGAGUAGCUAAUACCGCAUGUGGUCUUAGGACUAAAGCUUCGGCGGUUUGGGAAUGGCCUGCGUCUGAUUAGCUUGUUGGUGAGGUAAAAGCUCACCAAGGCGACGAUCGGUAGCUGGUCUGAGAGGAUGAUCAGCCUGACUGGAACUGAGAACGGUCCAGACUCCUACGGGAGGCAGCAGUAGGGAAUUUUCCAACGAUGGGCGAAAGCCUGAUGGAGCAACGCCGCGUGCAGGAUGAAUGCC